AGUCGAGCGGACAGAUGGGAGCUUGCUCCCUGAUGUUAGCGGCGGACGGGUGAGUAACACGUGGGUAACCUGCCUGUAAGACUGGGAUAACUCCGGGAAACCGGGGCUAAUACCGGAUGCUUGUUUGAACCGCAUGGUUCAAACAUAAAAGGUGGCUUCGGCUACCACUUACAGAUGGACCCGCGGCGCAUUAGCUAGUUGGUGAGGUAAUGGCUCACCAAGGCAACGAUGCGUAGCCGACCUGAGAGGGUGAUCGGCCACACUGGGACUGAGACACGGCCCAGACUCCUACGGGAGGCAGCAGUAGGGAAUCUUCCGCAAUGGACGAAAGUCUGACGGAGCAACGCCGCGUGAGUGAUGAAGGUUUUCGGAUCGUAAAGCUCUGUUGUUAGGGAAGAACAAGUACCGUUCGAAUAGGGCGGUACCUUGACGGUACCUAACCAGAAAGCCACGGCUAACUACGUGCCAGCAGCCGCGGUAAUACGUAGGUGGCAAGCGUUGUCCGGAAUUAUUGGGCGUAAAGGGCUCGCAGGCGGUUCCUUAAGUCUGAUGUGAAAGCCCCCGGCUCAACCGGGGAGGGUCAUUGGAAACUGGGGAACUUGAGUGCAGAAGAGGAGAGUGGAAUUCCACGUGUAGCGGUGAAAUGCGUAGAGAUGUGGAGGAACACCAGUGGCGAAGGCGACUCUCUGGUCUGUAACUGACGCUGAGGAGCG
rnacentral:rRNA from 1 species